rnacentral:lncRNA from 1 species
CUUAGAUCCACCAUAUCAUAUGUUUUAAUGCCAUUUGUUGAACUUGCCACCAAAGGGCUUGCCAAACUUCCCAUGCUGAAAUUUGCCAUGACCGUAGCCGUGGCCAACCCCAAAGCCAUGGGAACCACCAUGGCCAUGGUAAGCACCAUAGCCAUGGUGGGCCCCACCUCCAUGCACAAGAUGGUUAGCCCCAUUCGCAGGAGUAGCUGCGACAGGAACCCCAGCUAACAUUCCUCCCAUUCCCAUACCAGGAGCUC